GAGACUUUUAUUCUGCUCCAAUUAGCCAGAACAGUUACUGCUUCUGUGGGAUUCAAGCUGAAAACAGAGCCCACGCUGCACAGCACCGCGCCUCCUCCGGCAAAAGCGAUGUUCAGGCGCUCUGCGAGCAGCACCCGUGGGGAGCUCAGUGACCUUCUCGCUCCCAUCAUCCCUUGGGCCACAGUUUCUAAAGCAGCCCCACAAACACUCACCUGAUUUCGACGUCAGACCUAUGAGGCAGGUAGGGAGGGGUUCUUCCUAACAUCCUCAUCUUACAAAUGGAAACGGAGGCACAGGGAGGGCUGGAGUUGGAGUGCAAUGGCAAGAUCUCGGCUCACUGCAACCUCCACCUCCCGGGUUCAAGCGAUUCUCCUGCCUCAGCCUCCCGUGUAGCUGGGACUACAGGAUGAUGGAUUCACACCUGCCUCGGCCAUGCACCCCAUCACAAAACCAGAAGCCUAGGAGUGCUCCUGUCAUCUUGAUUUUUCUCUCACAUCAGUGAUUCCAAAAUAAGGACUUAACCUGUGUGCUUCUCUUCUUCUCGCUGUCCCCACCCACCAGGGUCUCCCACCUGGACUGUUCCCAUUGCCUCCUAACUGACCUUCCUACUUGCACGCCUGUCAUCAUCUGCCCAUUUUCAACGCCUUCCAGAAGACAAAAUCUAUACUUAUCAGCUGAAGUUUGCAUAAAAUGCUCCAGUGCCUUCCACUUGCACCCAGGAUUCAAUCCAAAGCCCCUCCCAGGGCUGCCCAGGCUGUCUCCCCAACCUCCUUAGGGCCAUCUCCUCCUGGCUCCUACCCUCCUUGGCCCACUGCUGCCCCCUGGAUCACACCCAGCUCCUCCCAGGACCUCAGCCCUGGCUGCUCCAGACCUUCCACUUGGUCCCUUGCCUUCUGUCAGUUCCCAAAGGUCAUCUUCCCAGACAGACCCUCCCUGACCCCGGGUAAACUGCGUCUCCCUAUGCUGCUCCAGCCAGCACCCUGUUGACUCCCCUCACAAUGCUAACAAGC